GUGAAUCAUCGAAUUUUUGAACGCAAAUUGCGCUUCCUGGCAUCCCGGGAAGUAUGCCUGUUUGAGGGUAGGUAUUAUUAAAAAAUCGGUUUAGUUCCAAAUUUUGACGUUUCCGGGGUUUGGGCUAUCUUAACAUUUUUGGUUAAGAGGCUUAAAAUUGACCUUUUAGCCGCAUUUUUAAACGUACUUAAAUUUUUUUUAUUCGUCUUUUCUUAUUCCAAAAAUUUUAUUAGUUGCAAUCAC
rnacentral:misc_RNA from 1 species